rnacentral:rRNA from 1 species
AGUGAACGCUGGCGGUAGGCCUAACACAUGCAAGUCGAACGGCAGCACAGUAAGAGCUUGCUCUUACGGGUGGCGAGUGACGGACGGGUGAGGAAUACAUCGGAAUCUACUUUUUCGUGGGGGAUAACGUAGGGAAACUUACGCUAAUACCGCAUACGACCUACGGGUGAGAGCAGGGGAUCUUCGGACCUUGCGCGAUUGAAUGAGCCGAUGUCGGAUUAGCUAGUUGGCGGGGUAAAGGCCCACCAAGGCGACGAUCCGUAGCUGGUCUGAGAGGAUGAUCAGCCACACUGGAACUGAGACACGGUCCAGACUCCUACGGGAGGCAGCAGUGGGGAAUAUUGGACAAUGGGCGCAAGCCUGAUCCAGCCAUACCGCGUGGGUGAAGAAGGCCUUCGGGUUGUAAAGCCCUUUUGUUGGGAAAGAAAAGCAGCAGGUUAAUACCCCGCUGUUCUGACGGUACCCAAAGAAUAAGCACCGGCUAACUUCGUG